AAGUGACAAGUUUCAGAUUUGUCCUGCAGCCCAGGGCUGUUUGUGUGGAAUUUAUAGGAACAAAUUCAAGGCCGCUGUCUUUGCACUGAAACCCCCUUUUGUGCUCAGCUGUCAGAGCACAGGCAGCAAAGGAGUUUCUUUCCCCAGGCGCUGGGAAUCUGUAUGUAAAAACUUCACGCUUAAAUUUGGCCUAACAGGAAAAUGGAAAAUGCUGACUAAGCCCUGAUCCUUUGCCCAACUCCCUCCACGUAACCAGCCCGGGAGUGUUCACUCCUUCCAGCCCUUAGAGCAGGGAAUACCAGCGGGAGCUGCAGCCAGGCUGGCCCGUCCCAGCACAGGCAGAGCCCUGGAUCUCCCCAAAACAAAGUCCUGCCUGCUGCAAACCUCCUGCUGCUCCUCUGCCACCCCCACUUGUCUGUCCCUUGCCCCAGCAAACACCUCUCAGCAGAAGAUCCACCUGCAGUUUUUAGGAAAGCGUCUCCAGAGAAAAGGGAAGGGGGCGGUUCAGGAGCCUCUCACCUGGUUGGGUCUCAUGGGAGCUUCCUGAGCAAUGCCCGAAAUUACCGAAAUCCAACAGAAAUGCUACUUUCUCAUGUUUAUUCCUGUAAACUACAAACACAAGAAAUGCUGAAUCGUAAAGAAUAGAAACUCUGUAAAGAAAAAAAAAAAUCAAACACAAACAAAACCUCAUUUCAGGCUUCCUCCCAUACUUUUUGUUCCUCCCUCCCACUUCAAACUCGGUGUUAUUUGCCAAAGAUUGGUCAUGGUUUGGAUAGCACAUCUUGCUCUACACGUUCAAAACAGCAUGAAGUGCAGAAAAAAAACCAACACAAACACCUCCUCCCCAAACAACACCCAAGCAGCAACUAAAGCAGGUGAUUAAAGGAAAUAAAAUGAGGCAACAAGAACCGGCUAAGGCUUCCAGCUCUGCUCUUUGCUGAGUUUCUCUUGGGGGUUUUGGGGUUUGGUUUUGGUUAUUGGGAUUUUUUGUUGUUUUGUUUUUUUUUUUCCUUUCACUCAGAGAAAGUUAAAGACUUAGAAAAAUCCCUAUCCCUGAAUCACAGCAUUGAGCCAGAAUCAGCUGGAAUUUCAGCCCUGUGUUUAAUCUAACUUUAAACAUGCCUUCAAAAUAAAACAAGCUACUUUUUUUUAACC
rnacentral:lncRNA from 1 species